rnacentral:rRNA from 1 species
AUGUAUUUUCUGAAUAAAAAAGGUUGGAUUUCCACUAAAAGCCAUAUAGAGUCUGCUCAAUUGGUUGAUGAGCAAAGUUCUGGAUGCACAUAUCCUCAUUGUGACUUUCUUAAACUCCAGUAUAAAAGCCAUAUAGAGUCUGCUCAAUUGGUUGAUGAGCAAAGUUCUGGGUUCACACGUCCUCAUUGUGAUUUUCUUUUGAGUCAAAUGAAUAAUGUAGUGCCAUUUCAACUACAAAAUUUUGUUCAGUCUCGGUUUAAUGCAGCUUAUAAGUGCACAGCCAGGACAAAUUUUGAUUGUCGUACUUGUAGGACUCUAGAAGAAAUGUGCAGUAUGACUCUAUGA